AUUGAACGCUGGCGGCAUGCUCUACACAUGCAAGUCGAACGGUAACAGGCCGCAAGGUGCUGACGAGUGGCGAACGGGGGAGUAAUGCAUCGGAACGUGCCCAGUCGUGGGGGAUAACUACUCGAAAGAGUAGCUAAUACCGCAUACGAUCUAUGGAUGAAAGCGGGGGACCGUAAGGCCUCGCGCGAUUGGAGCGGCCGAUGUCAGAUUAGGUAGUUGGUGGGGUAAAGGCUCACCAAGCCAACGAUCUGUAGCUGGUCUGAGAGGACGACCAGCCACACUGGGACUGAGACACGGCCCAGACUCCUACGGGAGGCAGCAGUGGGGAAUUUUGGACAAUGGGCGCAAGCCUGAUCCAGCAAUGCCGCGUGCAGGAAGAAGGCCUUCGGGUUGUAAACUGCUUUUGUACGGAACGAAACGGCUCUGGUUAAUACCCGGGGCUAAUGACGGUACCGUAAGAAUAAGCACCGGCUAACUACGUG
rnacentral:rRNA from 1 species